CGCCCUGUCAGGUGACGGUCCCGGAGGAGCCGCAGAGGCGAGCAGCCCCUCCCCCGCCAGGCACAUGCCGCGCCGCCGCCGCCGUCGCCUUCUCCCCUCAGUAACAAUCCGGUCUACUAUUUUCUACAUUAUGGUCUCUGGAAAUCACUGCAAUGCCUGUCAAAAGUCACCGUUUUAUCACGUCAUUUUCUGCGAGGAGGUAAGCACACAGUGCAUUGAUAUUGGUACAAAGAAAAGAGAGAAGGGAUGGGUGUCACGUCCUAUCAAGAGAUACGACUCUUUUGUUACAAAGCGCGGAUACAGCCACUUCAGAAUCUGAUUUUCCAAGUUGUCCAUAUGGGACUGAGACUAUUGACUUGCUUCUCUAGUUAUCAGCUGCUUGCUUUCUUGAUAAAAAGGGAUUAGUAAAACACAAUGUCUACCAUGUAAACCGAAUGAUGGAUGCAAUAGGAACACGACUGUCCUCCCCCUUCCCUACAGGAGAUCCCAUAACGGGAGGAGAAGUGUUUCUGUUGAGUCUGCCACAUUCUAAACCCCGUUCUUCCCUUUCUUAUAGACCCUACACCAUCGAGCGCUUAACCCAUAGGAUCAGCAGUGUGUCCUCCUCACUUUAAACCUGUUCUUUCUCAUAGAGGAGAUGUGAAAGAAGAAUGAAAGAUGUGGAGGCCUCUGGCAAAGGUUUUGUAGAGAUUGUCCGUUUAGUCGCAUUGUGCUUUAAAGCCUUUUUCCUUUUCCAGAGCUUUGUAUCUGUCACUUUGCCCAGGAGAAUCGCUGGGCCAACCUUCUCAGGACAGGUUCUGGCCUUCCUCUACUUCGAGUAUUUCUACAAAAACUGUCUACUCGAAGGGCUUUCUGCAAGCCUUAACCUACACAUGUACACCCUCUUGUACAAAAGCAGCCUGUGUUUCCUAACACGCUGCUUCAGGCACUUACAUUCCAUCUGGGUUGCAUCGCCCUUUAAUUAUCAGUCUUCUUAUUGUGAUCAAGUGAACUUUUACUAAUCUCCACAUUUAUUGUUAAGGUAAAUAGAUGCUGCUUUUAAUCAAUCUGGAGGGCCACACCAAUGCAGUUCCAAGUAACUUAAGUCAACUGUAAAGAGUUCAAUGUGUGUAUAAUUACAGAGGACGUCACCGAUUCACUCCAGUCUAAUUCAGUGUCUCUUUAGAGACAGACCUCUUCCUUCUCCCCGGGCCCGCUCUCACCUCCCUCGCUCCCCCCGCCCCGCAAAGCAGGCAAGGGGACCGCGGCGGAGGCCGAGCAAGCGGCAGCCCUGCUGAACUUCAGGCUGCUCAGCGGAUUGAAACUGCUAGAUGAACUCCGUCUGGGACAAUCCAGCAGUCAACUUUUUGUUACCUUAAUGUAAAUGAGAAGACUACAGCUGUCUUAAGAAAUCUAGGUGGACAACCCCAAUGGAAAAUGAAACUUGGGCAAGGGCAAUGCUAAGAAAAGGAUGUCUAUUAUCCACAAUAAUGCUCCUAACAUUUUCUAAACAGCUAUUACCUGCGUCUGUCCAUAAUUGUCCUUGUUACAGUAACAGUGCAAUCUCUCUUUCAGAACACUUACAGAAAUCUCUCUCCACUGACUUUUCCAAAUGUAAACAACCUAUACAGCAUUUUCUAAUGUAAAACAAAUGUGGUAAGUAGGUCCCACAUUAAAGAAUCACUUUGACUGGAAUGUCUGAAAUGUUCAAGAGGUUUUUGGGUGGCUUAGAAAAUGCUACCAUUUGCAUUCGGUUUCCAAAUGCAGUCCCGUAUGAGUGUCAGUAGGACCUAUAUAGCACAUUGUUGCUGCCUUUGGAUGGGGGCAGAGAACAGAUAGCUUGCUUUCUCUUUUGCAAAGUGAUGCAAAAUAAGCUGUUGUGGAUUUUUGCUCUCUAAUAUUUCUCAUGGCUUUUAUCGCACACGAACGUGACUAAUUUUCAGUGUUGACACUAACAAACAUUUAUCUAUUUAGAAAGCAACAAGACUACAAAAUUCCCAGUUACAGCAAAACAAC